GUCAUUUAGUGAAUGUAAAAGUCGUAUCAGCUUCCGUAGGUGAACAUGCGGCAGAUCAUCA
rnacentral:rRNA from 1 species